UCUCUCUUUAUAUACAUCACAAUCAUCCUCUAUCUCUCUCUUUAUAUCUUUAUCUUCUAAUUCAUUUCCAGAUCUAGAAAAAUCAUCAUCCAGAUCCAAAAGUGAAUUGAAUCCAAAAGAUGAUCCAGUUCAAAAGAUCAUCAUCUAGAUGCUCCAGACCCAAAAAGAUGUUCGAUGUUUGAACAUGAUGUUCCAGAUCUAGAAGAUCCUCCUCCAGAUCCGGUUGAAAAGUUAAAAUUAUCGAUUGGAAAAUGUCUUCGAAGAAGUUUAUAGUCCAGGUGGAGCCAGCGGUAACAGUGAAAGACGGACAUCCGUCAAAGGGACCGGUUUACCGGAGUGUGUUUGUGAAACAUGGUUUUCCGACUCCGGUUGAUGGUUUGGAGUCCUGUUGGGAUAUUUUCCGUUCAGUGGAUGUCCGUUUAUAAGGUGGGUCGACCAACCCAUGUGCCCCUGAUUUGCUAUGAUUAUUCCGGGACUGUUGAGAACUAUUAACAGGCUACAAGUUGAGGUUAUAGCUCGUGAAGAUGAAACUAGAAAGAAGAAAACCAUUACAUGAUUUAUGAUUUUCGUUGUUGUAACUUCCACAAUGUUUGUUUGUACUCCUGGAUUGAUUUCAAAGUUUUUAUAUUUUAUGUGUAACUUACAUUUGACCCAUUUUCCUUCA